rnacentral:rRNA from 1 species
AUACGGAGGGUGCAAGCGUUGUCCGGAUUUAUUGGGUUUAAAGGGUGCGUAGGUGGUUUUUUAAGUCAGUGGUGAAAGCCUACAGCUUAACUGUAGAGGUGCCAUUGAUACUGGGGAACUUGAGUAUGGACGAGGUAGGCGGAAUUUGUGGUGUAGCGGUGAAAUGCAUAGAUACCACAAGGAACACCGAUAGCGAAGGCAGCUUACUGGGCCAUAAUUGACACUGAGGCACGAAAGCGUGGGGAGCGAACAGGAUUAGAAACCCUAGUAGUCC